GUUACACUACUCCAACUACAAAGUUUAAUAACAAUGUAUCUUCUACUAUUACAAAAUUACCUUUUCCCCUCUUUAAACAUUUCUUCAUAUACAUUUCAUUAUUGCACAUGGAAUGGAAUGUUAGAUCAUUUGAGAAUGAGAUUGAUGUGUUAAUACUUAGAAAUUUCAAGUGAUCUUUAUGUAAAUGAGAUAGAUAUGUUUUUUUUUAAGUGGGAAUGAAAUGUUGCACACAAGUUAAUUUCUCAUGUAGACCUUUGUAUUAUCAAGAGUUGUUUUUCCAGCAUUAUCAAUACAUAACUGAAUUGUCUUAAGAAUGACAAAUAUUUUGUUGACAAAAUUGUUGCCACUUCAAUAAUUUCUUUGCACCAAAAGAAUUAGUUUCCCUUUCCUGUUAUAACAUUGCACAAAAAAAAAAAUAGAAAAGCAUGUUCUGGUGUCUUAUAAGUUAUAAUCUAACUUUACCCUUUGCUGUCAUAAAUUGUUUUAUACUAUCAGUAAAUAAAGUGUCCCUUAAAUAGAAACUUCUCAUUAAGCAUUGUACAUGUUUUACUCUGCCAGAUUUAACUAGCUUGGAAAUAUCCUCAUUCAAGAGUUCAAGACCAAGACAAAUCCACUUUCUAAAAAAUAUCCACCAUAUGAGGUGGGACUAUAGAAGAAAAUAAGAAAUACUACUGUGGUUUGAGAUCAAAUUCUAGCUUAACUACAAAAUCAACUUUCAAAACAAGGGAAAGAUGUUGUUAUUAAAAUAAAGGCAGUGCUGUUUUUCAUUCUAGAGAAACAAGAACAAGAGUAUCAUAAACUACAAUUCUAGUUUUAUUGUUUUUAAAAUACCAAAAACAUGUUUUUCUAGUAAAAAUUUAAAUAAGAAAAAGAAGCCUGAUUGGGUUGUCUAGAGCAGGUUUUCGGAACAUGUUACGGCUGCUGCGAAAUCUUGUUCAGAAGACAAUCUGGGAGGCAGAAAAAAGUCCACCUUGGUCCAGAAAAUGAUAUCAGGGAGUGAGGUUGAUUAUGACCUCAUGGUAAUUCAGAUUUACAUGAGCAUGAAUCCUUAAAUGCUUGAAGAUCACCCUUAGAAUAAAAGCUAAUUUGGCAUGAAAAUAUCUUCUGACAAAAAGAAACAGCAUUAUGCUUAGUUUACUUCCUGAUUGAGAGGAGCUCAAAGCUCCGAAGAGGAUCAUCGUGAUUGCCUCUAAUCGAUCCAGCGCGUGUGAAACUUGCUUGUUUUGUCUCAUACAUGGGUUGGAUUCUCUGUGCUGUAGAUGGGCGGAUGACACUUGAGGUCAGCUGGCCAGUACGGCUGUCAGUAUAGUCAUCUGAGGAACUUGGAAUGGCUGAUGGGACUAUUGGUCUUCUUGAACUGCUGCCAUAUCGAGACGAACUGCGUCCCUUCUCUUGACCAUGAUACUGAAAAACCCAAGGUAAAAACUAAAUGUGAGAAUGAUUGAGUAGAAAAUAUAAACAUGUAAAAGUGUUGGCCAUCAGCUACGAAGUACGGAUACAGAUACUAGACACAAAUACGAACCAUUCAGAUACCUUGAUAUGGAAAAAUUCAUAAUAUAAUAGAAAGAUAUAUAGAGAAACUUGUGUAAAUUCUGUAUAGGUGCUAUAUGGGCAUCAGUAUGCAGUAAUGCACUAUGCAGCAUGCAGCAUCUUCACUGUUGAAAAAAAAGAUUUACCACAUCCUUGCGCACUGCUACUUCAUCAGAAGUCCUAUGUUUGGUGUGAUCAUCACGAGGGCUAGAACCUGUUGGGUUCCUCCUGGAGAAUGCUUCAACAGCACCAGAGAAUUUCUCUCGAAUCUCUUUCCCAACUGAAAGAAGCAAUUGCAUGACCAAGAAUUAUACAAACAGAAAUUUGGGAAAAGCAUAGUAGUUUGACCACUAUUGAUAAUUAUUUUCUGAAAUCCAUAGGCUUAAUUAAGUUUUUGGUCCUUAAAAUAGGACUGUUUUUCGGUCAGGCUUAAUAAGAAUGAGUGUUUGCAUCAAACUUAAUUAAGCGCUUAUCUAAUAAGUUAUUUUGAAAAUAUGUCAGACCAAGCGAAGGGUUACCUUUGACCCAUGACCAAAGGGCAUCUUUUGGCCCAUGACAAUGGGAGAAAGGUUGGGCUCUAGCUCUGAGACCAUGUAAAGGUUCCAUCUCAAACCAAUUGGCAAUGAGAGGAGUAGCCCAACAAGUAUUUAAACCAUGCUUAGGAGAAUGAGGUAGGCGAUGGGAGACUUACUUCCCAACAAUCUCUAUAAGCUCUUCUAAAAAUCCCUUAGUAGGAUUAUCCUAUUCUACCGAAAGAGAGCGGACCUGAGAUCUUUUCUGGCUUUUGUACAGAUGGUCCUGGAUUCAUAGCUGCCUUGCCACUAUCAUGCUGCUAUUAAACAACUAUAGUAAGAGACCUCCACUGGAAGCAGAAUCAUAAAAAGCAAGAUAUAAAAGUACUAACCCGCCCUCUAGAGCUGCUACCAAUCUGUGGAUACUUCAAUAUAGUCCAGUCAAAAACAUAGUCAAAUUGAUAGCCUGCACUAACAAUAUCCAAAUCAAUUUCUAUUCAGAACGCUAGUAUCAAGUUUAGAUGUUGAGUAAGGGACCUUCUCGAAUGAAUAAAUCUCGAAAAAGCCUUUUUAAAUAUGAGUACUCUGGCUUGUCCUCAAACCGCAAUGAUUGGCAAUAAUGGAAAUAUGAAACAAAUUCUGAGGGAUAUGACUUGCAGAGCACCUGUUAUUAUACAAAAUAACAGGACCAAUAAAAUUAAAGCCACAUCAGAAGGGGAAAAGACGAGAACAAAAUGUCCAAGUUAUGUAAACUGUUGAAUGCAAAGAAUAUAUGGUUAUGACUUACAAAGGGAAAAUCAACAUGAGAGAGUUUAGUUGAUUGUAACAUUCAAUAUCAGUAGCAUAAAUCAACCUAGUUCUAAUGCACAAGAGAAACAUGCACUUUGGUUUGAAAUAAGUAUUCACAUGCAAAGCACAAACUAUCAUGGAACUGGAUUUCAGGCCUCACCCGUCUUCUAUGAUAAACCUCAAUGGCAUCAUACACCAAAAUAAACUAAGCAUCAAACUCUAGAUACUGAGAAAAAUUAUUGUUCUUUACAAGCAUUGCCAAUCUAACUAAUCAAAUACCUCUAUACGAGUUGAUAUCUUCUUCUCACUGAUUUUGUCAUAUUUUUGUUUUUUGGUGCCAGCCUUCAGUCCCUGCCAAGGAAGACUGAAGAAAAAGGUUGUACAAUGAAAGACGAUAGUAAGGCAAAUAUUAUAAAGAUAUCCAAAUCUAGUAGGGGAAAUAGAUGUGUAUAUCACCAUACCUUCCUCUUAAGAAGUACAUGAGCACAUAACCAAGAGAUUCCAGAUCAUCCCUUCUGCUUUGUUCUGCGAGCAAAAUAAAGUACAAUUAAUAAAAGCAAACAUCCAAGUACAAUAAUGUAGUUAUUCACUUCCAAAUAUUGAUUAUCAACAUAACAAGGAAUAAAUACCACGACAUUACUCACCAAUUCCAAGAUGAGUGUUGACACUUGCAUACCGAGCUGUGCCUGUAAGGUUCUUGUUCUCCCUAUGAAAGAAAGACAAUGCUUCUCAAAACAAAAGAAAUAGGAAUUUUACUAAACUACCUACAUUUAGGUGAAGACAAGACCUAUUGGAUUGUCCCAAAAGUGUUUUAGCCUCCUAGAAAAUGUGUCCAACAGAUAAAUAGUGCACCAUUAAUAUCCUGAAAAGAUGAUGACAAAACUUACCUGUAUGGUAUGUGCCUAUGGGUCUUAAGAUCCCUAUAUUUUUUCGCAAGACCAUAGUCAAUGAUGUACACCUGAAAUGAGAUGCCAAUCAUGACAUAAAUACAAUUAAGUAACUGAAAUGUGCAUGUUCAACUUUAAUAUUUAUCAUCUAAAAUCUACCAAUCAUUUAUUCCAAGAUCUGUUUUGACUGUAUGAGAACCACUAAAAAGUGUAGUUCUUUUCCAUUCAUAUGAAUAACAACAGAAGCAUCUUCAACAAAAUGAAAUACCUGAUUUGCUUUACGUCCUAGGCCCAUCAGAAAAUUGUCGGGCUUUAUGUCACGGUGAAGGAAGCCUCUUGAAUGCAUAUAUUCAACUCUGUUAAUCUGAACAAUAAUGUGAAGCAAAUAAAAUGUUAAAUAGCUUUUUAAAAUACUUUAUUUGAUAAUAGUUGCCAUGUAGACUUACUAAUUGAUCAGCAAGCAUUAACACUGUCUUCAAUGUUAACUUCCGGUUGCAAUAAUUGAACAAAUCUUCCAGACUUGGACCAAGAAGGUCAAUAGCCAUGCAAUUGUAGUCUCCCUCAACUCCAAACCACUUGAGAUGGGGAAUCCCCGCUUCAUCAAUAAGGAACAAAAAAGGAUUACUCAAAAAGGACACGUCUCGAUCAUUUACACCUUUUCAGUCGUAAUUAGUUAAUAUUACUUUGAGAGUGUGGUUUAAGACUAGUGCUUCUGAUUUCAUUAACAGGAGAUCCUCAACACCAAUGAGGUUAUCCUCCGGAUUAAAGGAAAUAGAACAAAUAUAUAAUGCCGGUUUAGGAACAAUUUCCAUGCGAAAAAAUAGCAUUCAGUGUCUGCAUUAGCUAAUACUUUUAUAAUCCAAAAUGCUAAAAAGAAAUAGAGAUAUAAACUGACUUCCUCCCUGUAGAAGCGUAUACAAUUUUGACUCAUAGUGAAGCUGUGGAUGCUUGGUCUUCACAGGUUCCUGCAAAAUUUGGGGGAACAAACAAUAUCAUGAGCAAACUAAUAUCAAUAAGUGGUAUUAAAAUAAAUUCUAAAAACAUAUUUGAGUGUUCCACAAGGUAAAUCAUGGCGAUUUGAUCACAUAAGCACAAUUGAGUAGUAAAAAUGCAACCAGAAACCGGAAAACAUUAAUCAAUCUCUAAAAGAUCAUAGCAUACCAGCUUGAUAGCUACUUCCUCUCCAGUUUGUACAUUAACAGCUUGUAUAGAGAAUAGAAGGAAUAUGUUAAAAACAAUGUAUGACAAUGCUUCAAAAACAAAUUACAACUAACAUUUUUCAAAAGAAGAUACCUAUAUAAAGCUCCCCAAAAGAGCCACUCCCAAUUUUCCUUCCAAGUUUAAACUUGCCACCAACAACAUGAUCCAUCAUAAAAUCACGUUUAAUACCAGUCACACAAAGUAACUAUAUCAACCCUUUUGUACUCAGAUUUGUUCCCAACUCAGAACCUAAUUCUGCAUAACCUAGCCAAAAAAUCACUCAAAUUUUUCCACAUAAUCACCUGAUUAAGGGGUCCAUUGGGUCAAAAUUCCAAACUUUAUUCCAGAAUCCACUCAAAUCCAAUGAGAUUUCCCAACCUAUUCAACCGGUUAGGGGCAAAACCGUAAUAUGGUGUAAAACAAGGAUAAGACUAGAAAUCAAAAGAAAAAAAAAUACAAAUUUUUUAACAUCCCCAACAAUGAAGAUGAAAACUUUUUAUUCAGAAUACGAUUCCAACUUCUACAGUUACAUUCCUUUACAGAAAUCAAUCACCCCAAACGCUUCAUCAAUAAGGAACAAAAAAGGAUUACUCAAAAAGGACACGUCUCGAUCAUUUACACCUUUUCAGUCGUAAUUAGUUAAUAUUACUUUGAGAGUGUGGUUUAAGACUAGUGCUUCUGAUUUCAUUAACAGGAGAUCCUCAACACCAAUGAGGUUAUCCUCCGGAUUAAAGGAAAUAGAACAAAUAUAUAAUGCCGGUUUAGGAACAAUUUCCAUGCGAAAAAAUAGCAUUCAGUGUCUGCAUUAGCUAAUACUUUUAUAAUCCAAAAUGCUAAAAAGAAAUAGAGAUAUAAACUGACUUCCUCCCUGUAGAAGCGUAUACAAUUUUGACUCAUAGUGAAGCUGUGGAUGCUUGGUCUUCACAGGUUCCUGCAAAAUUUGGGGGAACAAACAAUAUCAUGAGCAAACUAAUAUCAAUAAGUGGUAUUAAAAUAAAUUCUAAAAACAUAUUUGAGUGUUCCACAAGGUAAAUCAUGGCGAUUUGAUCACAUAAGCACAAUUGAGUAGUAAAAAUGCAACCAGAAACCGGAAAACAUUAAUCAAUCUCUAAAAGAUCAUAGCAUACCAGCUUGAUAGCUACUUCCUCUCCAGUUUGUACAUUAACAGCUUGUAUAGAGAAUAGAAGGAAUAUGUUAAAAACAAUGUAUGACAAUGCUUCAAAAACAAAUUACAACUAACAUUUUUCAAAAGAAGAUACCUAUAUAAAGCUCCCCAAAAGAGCCACUCCCAAUUUUCCUUCCAAGUUUAAACUUGCCACCAACAACAUGAUCCAUCAUAAAAUCACGUUUAAUACCAGUCACACAAAGUAACUAUAUCAACCCUUUUGUACUCAGAUUUGUUCCCAACUCAGAACCUAAUUCUGCAUAACCUAGCCAAAAAAUCACUCAAAUUUUUCCACAUAAUCACCUGAUUAAGGGGUCCAUUGGGUCAAAAUUCCAAACUUUAUUCCAGAAUCCACUCAAAUCCAAUGAGAUUUCCCAACCUAUUCAACCGGUUAGGGGCAAAACCGUAAUAUGGUGUAAAACAAGGAUAAGACUAGAAAUCAAAAGAAAAAAAAAUACAAAUUUUUUAACAUCCCCAACAAUGAAGAUGAAAACUUUUUAUUCAGAAUACGAUUCCAACUUCUACAGUUACAUUCCUUUACAGAAAUCAAUCACCCCAAACCAUGCAUUGAAAUAAAAAAAAAGUGCAAAUAGGAAUUAAGAAAAAAAACUAAAAACUAAAACUUUAUAAGGAAAAAAUAAUGAGAAGCAAAGGAGAUUGAAGAGGGUGUGUUGAAUGAGGUAGUAACAGAGGAAGCGAGAGUUUGGAGAGAAAAGGAGAAAAGGAAAAACAAGUUUAUUAUUAUUUUAUUAUUAUUUAAAGUAUUUGUGUUUAUUACUUAACGUGGUCAAUGAAUAUAUACACUUUAAUCAUCUUUUCAAGAUUUGAUUGCCAUGUGUUAUGUUCUUAGGAAAACGUGCUUAAAUUAUUAGAGAUAAAGACGCACCAAUAAAUUUUAGAAGAACUAAUUCAAAUCUAUUUAAAUAUGGAAUAUGAUUUCUGAUAGUUUUAUUUUAUAAGCAUUUUGUUGUCAUAUGUUGUUCUAAAUGAGUAAUCUCUCAACAACAAUUUGUGAUAAAGUAUAUAAUCGAUAUUUGAUAAUACAAUUUUAUGGUAAAGUAGAAUAAUUAGUAAUUUUGGUCAAAAAUUUAAAAAAACAUGAAUAAUAAGUCGAGUAUCUAAACUUGUAAUUUAUAAAUUUCUAAAUAUGUAUAGUAACAUAAUUAUAAUAUCCUAAUAAUCAUAUAGCACAAAUGGUAAGUUGUUCAAGCCCAAGUUCACAAGACUUGAAGAUUAAGUAAUCUAUAUCAAACGAAAAAGACUUUGUAGUGUAUUUUUAAGGUCAAAAUUGCAAUUUCAAGGAAAAGUAAAGGUCAUAAAUGUUAUUGUCUAUUGAGUUUUUAGUGUAUUUUCUCCUAACUUAUCUCUCUAUUAAUGGAGAGGAGUUUAACUCAUAUCAAAAAUGGUUUCGGAUGCAGAUUCAAACCUGAAAGAAUGUCUUUUGCAGGCUAUCUCAAAUGCAUAAAAAAGUAGAGAAAGUGAAGUAUCAUCACAAGAUAUUGUGACUUCUACCGACCCUUUUGGUAGUUCUGAUGGCUUCAAAACUGAUAUAUCUAUAGUUUUCCUGUAGAAAUGUUCCAUAAACACUUGAAUAACCCUUCAUUUAUCUACAACACUAAACCCAGCAGUGUCACGUCAAAUUUUGUUAGUGCACACUCAUGUUAUGUAUUUCUUUUUUGUCCACUUACCAGUAUUGUUUGUAUGCAAAUGAAAAGGUGGAAAAAAUAAUAAUAUACAAAAAAAUCAAGGUUGAAAUAUCAUGUUCAGUUCAGUUACAACAAUAUCUUACUUCCUGAAAAAAGUGGAGAGAUCAUUACACAGUCUAGUGUAAUAAUCUCUCCAAUAAUUGACACACGGAAACUGCUACAAAUUCAGGCCCACAGAUGGAACAUUGCAUCAAAUAAUUGGUAUCAUUUUAGGCCCACUAUGCCCUACUUAAUUAAUUCUAGAGGAUUGUUCCCGAGUUGAAAUGAAAACAGAUGGCUUAAGAGCCGUUAAAUACAAUGCCGAUAUGACUUUAAAGUUUUCCAAUUCCCCUCAUUUUCUUUCAAAUUCAACUCGCAAACAGAUAAUAUAGCUGAACCCUAGAAUCCAACUUGUAGUUGGGUAGAUUCAGAUGGUGAUAGGUAUUAGGUAGAAAGAAUGAUUGAAUGAAGAAAUAGAGAAAGAGGGGUCUAAGAAUAAUAUGAUGAUAUAAAUGAGCCAUGCAACGUAACAAUCCGAAUGAAUAUGCAGCCAUGAUUUAUGAGAGGCAAGAAGUGGAGGGGUGAAGGAGGUGCUUCCAUACAACAAUUCUUGGCUCAAAACAGAUAAACGUUUUCUUAAACCAAACAUGGUGUACAAGAUUUCCCCGUAACAUGUUCCCAUGCACAGUGAUCUUGUAUAUAUAUUGUAUAACUUCACUCAUUCUUCACCUCUUCUCAAGAUAGAUAUAGUUACUUUAAUUGAAGCAAGUCAAGAUUCAAACUAGAGAUAACAAAGAGUUAAGUGUGAGUGUUUUUUCUAAGUCCCUAUUAUAGUAUUAUCCUAGGCCAUUGCCCCUGGCCUACUCAUUUCAGCUGGACCUAGCUGCUAGUAAUAAUUUCUGCACCCUUGGAUCUGCAACAAUAAUAAUAAUUAUACUGUUGAUAACGUGAGAAGGGUACAGUCCCUUAGAUUGGAGGGUACCCUUUAACUUUUCUUUGGUUGAUCAGAAAUGGAGGAGUGAUAUAUGAGUAGCUUAAAUCACUCAGUUAUGGGGAAGGUAAACUUUGGAGGCACUCCUCUACAAAUGAUUUAUUGAUUCCCUUUUUUUUUAUUAUAUAUUGUAUAAAUAAAUGAUUAAGAAAAUACCUAUAUAUAUAUAUAUAAUUUCAUACACGUUAAAUUACAUAUUAAUAAUAAUACGUAAUAUUACGAAAACUUUAUUUAAAAGAUUUAUGUAUUAUAUUUAAACAAGUGUAAAGAUGAAUACAAGUUCAAAAAAUAGCUCUGUUGACAUUCAAUGUCAGAUUAGCUUUCGAAUCUAGGGUCGAACUCAAAAAAAUAACAUGAUCGACGUUUAUAAUUGUGUAAGAAACAAGUUAAAAUGCCUUUAAUCAAUUUGUAAAGCAGUCAAAUUAAUUUAUAUUAUGUGGAAACUAUUAUAUAUAUUUGAAAUUUAUAGCAUGCUUAUGUACACAUCCAAUACCAAGCAAUAGGAAUGCAAUUUUAGAGGAAAAUGAGUGUGUCUAGUAUCAAAUAAUAUAAGUUACAAAUAAGUUUGAUGAGAAAAGCAUUUAGUUAAUGUUGAUAAACAUGCUCAUUAACUAUCAUAUAUGUUCUGCGCUAAAAGUCUAGAUUUAUGAAAUAUAUACCUAAAUGAUUACAUGAAAGAAUAGAUCCCUUAUGUCUCAAAGUGGUGGUCUAAUAUAUACCCCACUCGAAUCACUUUAAAAGGGAAAAUAACAAGGUUAGCGAUAUNNNNNNNNNNNNNNNNNNNNNNNNNNNNNNNNNNNNNNNNNNNNNNNNNNNNNNNNNNNNNNNNNNNNNNNNNNNNNNNNNNNNNNNNNNNNNNNNNNNNUAUAUAUAUAUAUUAUAUAUAUAGCAUCUAUCCUAUGUCCAAAUGGAGGCACAAUAGGUGUCUGUUCAUGACCAGAGGGAUUGUGGAAAAUUCAUUUUUUUUUAGCCAAAGUCACAUACAUCAUCCAAACUACAUUUAUCUACAGACAAGUUUGUCGGCCAAAUUGAUUAACAAAAUUUGUUACUAAAGAUAUGUCAAUACACUUUUUGGUUUUGUGUUCUCUUUCCUGUUAAGACAACUUCGUCUACUUAUAAUUAGAAUGUAAAUAUAACCCUUUUUCCUUUUUCCUUGGCUACUUCUACCUAAGUUGGAAAUAUAAGGAUAUAUACACUUAAUUAGCAUAUGAUUGAAGAAAGUUGAAGCAUGUUAAUUCCAAAACAAACUUAUCUUUGAAUCUUUGAGGAAGGUUAAUGACAUGAGUUGUUGUGAAACCAAAGUGUAACAAUUUAAUUAAAUAUAGAUGAUUAUUGAAGUACAUUAUUCAGUCUCACUAUCACUUUUUCAGUACUCCACUAGUAGUUUACUACCAGUACCGCACUCUCUGCUAUAAUAGCAGAUACAUGCAUUAUAUCUCAGAAUAUCAAUUAUCUUUUAACUUUUCCUUCUCUCACGCCAAACAACAUACAAAAACAAACACUCUAUAUGGCCCCAGAUCAUAGAUCAUUGCACCUUUCAUAAAUACUAACUUUAUUUGAACAUCAAAAUAAAACCCUAAAUGUAAUACUAAACUAGAGAUUAGGGUUAUAAAUUCAUUAUUAAAGUAUAAUUAAGAUGAAGAUGAAACAUCCCACUCCACAAAGCAACUUUCAUAAAAAUUGUCUAACAAAAAAGUAAAAAAAAGAAAAAGAAGAUAGUAAAUAUAAUACUAAGGUAUAGGAUAUAUGUCUCCAAAUGGAUCAAGACUAAGAUCAAGAACAUGGUUUGAAACUGGUUUGCAACAACAAUUGAAGCCACAAUAUCACAGAAGACUAAGAAGAGUAGAACUUUUGGUGGAAUGUGAAACUAAUUAAUUGCUUUAUUGAGUUGAAGUUGGUGCAGGUGGGAGCACGGUUUGUUGUUGUUGUUGUGGUGGUUGCUUCCGCUUCUUCUUCUUCUUCUCAUAACUAAUGCCUCUUGCUUUGGACUGAAGAUCACGAACCUCACGUAGGUAAAGCCUCACAGCUCGAGCACCAAAUGGAUUUGCUUCUGGCUUUCCUCCAUUUUCCUCAAAAGCUGCACGAAGACGACCUAUGAGUGCAUCAAGACUACCCCAUGCUUGUUUCAAAGGGCAUGUACAUGGACCUGGAGGGUUAGGGUGCCCAUAGAAGGGACACAUUGGAGUGUGAACUUUGGUCUUCCCAAAUUGGUCUAGGUACCUAUACAUAUUACGUUAUUUUCAUCAACAAAUAUGUACCAAACUGGUAUGAUAGGAACAAAAUCAUUUUCGAAAAUCCUCGAUUUUCAUAUAAAUAAGGUAGUGGAUUUAAUUUUAUUUCAUUCGUAAAAUUAUUUCAAUGCUUGUUUUUCUACUUUCAAAUACUCUUUUGUGGAGUGGGUGACCUAGUUUAUUAUCUCUUUGGGUGUAAUGUUUUAAUGAGGUUUAUUGCUGACAAAAAAAUUGUAUACCAAACUGCUCUCAUAAAUAUUUGACUCCUUAAACUCAUCAUUUGAAGGAUGAAUUUAAUCAAACAAAUUAAAUUUCUUGUAAUAAAAAAUAUAGAGAGAAAACUUUGGUCUUGCCAGUUUACACAUAAUAACAAUUACAUUUAAUCAACAAAUUAAAAAUACAGUUUUUAUUAAACAAAUUAAGUUCAUGUUCAAGGUUGUAUAUAUCAGUUUGCUUAUAGAUUUUUAGUUGUUCUCCAUUCAUCAUGCUUUUUUCUUCCUGAGAGGGUGUUCUUGAUGAGACUCAUAUUAAUUCAAUAAAUUUUUAUUUUGAAAGAAUUUAAGAUCAUAUUAAAAAUUAAGGAUAAGAAGUGGUAAUCCAACUUAUAUACAUAUAGGAGUAGUGAAGUCCUUAUAUUGUAAUACUGCAAAAAAUAUUUAUAUUAUUUCAUACAAAAUCAGACAUAGAAAAAUAAGUUUCUUCAUGUCUAAAGACAAUUUUAUUCCGACGCAACCACAGAAUCUGACAACAAAAAACCAUGUCUACCAAGUUAUUACUGAGCUAGUAACUUCAAAGAUGAUUUUACUUUAAAAGAAUAAAUUGUUUGUAACAAAAAAAGGAAGAGAGAAAAGGGUAUAUAUAUGUGCGUGUACCUGAGAAAUUCAAGAACAUUUGCACCACUGCACCUAGAGAGUGAAAGAGGGGGACGGUGAUUCUUGAGGUACUGACCAAAGGUGUUCCAGUCACGGCGCUUCUGGUUCUCAUAGCGGCUUGUGGUGGCCGGAGAUGAGGAAGAGCUAGCACUAGCAGCUCCAAAGCUUGUAGUUAUGUUGGUGCUUGUGAUAGUGUUAUUUGUGAGGUUAUGUUCAGAGUUACUUGUGUCCAUAAAUUGUUGAAUUGAAUCCAUUUGAAAAAUAUUGAGUACUACUAUUACUAUUACUAUUAUUACUAUUACCUUUUAAGGCUUUUGCAUAGAUCCAAGGUUGUUGACUUUGUGUCUUCUCUUUGCUACAGCAUGCCUGCAAUACUUUUUAGCUGGGUCUCUAUUGUUCUAGGGUUCAUAAGAAAGUGACUAUAGUGAAAGUGUGAAGAGUGAGAGGUUAUUUGAGAUAAGGAAUUACUAUACCAUACUUAUAAUUUUAACAACUUGAGGAAUAGUUCUUUGUUUUUCUUACCUGAUACUAUUUAUGAGUAAUGAUAUUCUAAUAAUACUUUGCCAAUAUCAUUUUUUAUGCUUUUACUUUAUAAUCAUUGAUGAAGACAUUUUUAUUGUUUUCCAACCAACAAAUUUUUGAUCCAUAUAUUAUAGGUAUGAAAAGUAAUGUUUGUAAUAUUAAUGUGAGAUAUAUGAAAUUUUUCCUCACCAAAAGUAUUGUGUAUAACAGCAAAGUUUGAUAGCAAAUAUUAGGAAAAAGAAAUUGUUGGAUUCUUAUAAAGAGAAAUUUUCAAAUUUUGAUUUACAAAUUUGUUGUAAAAAAAAAUUCAUAAUUUAUUUGGGCGUAAAUAAAAAAUCAACAACAUAAUAAAUUCAUAUGAAAAUGUUAUAUUUGAUAAUGGAUACAUUAUAUGAUAUUAGAUUAGACAUGAAUACUUUAAUAAGAAAGUUGAUAAUUCAUAUCUUAGAAAAGAUGGUAGAAUAACAUCUUAAAUGGUUUGAGUAUGUAUGAUAGGUAAGAUUAAUUAUAUUGUGUUUUCUAUAUAAUAGAUUGAUAUUUCUUUGUAAUUCAAUUAUAUUCAUUGAAUGAAAUUCAUAAUCUUUUUCUUACUUGACUUCUAAUAAAAAUGAUUUAAGAUAAUAGUGAAUCUAUAUUGUGGAGUUCAGCUAGAAACUCCAAUUGUUGAUUACAGACUAUGAUAUUAAUAUAUAGAUGAGAGAGGGUGAUACAUAUAUAUAUAUAUAUAUANNNNNNNNNNNNNNNNNNNNNNNNNNNNNNNNNNNNNNNNNNNNNNNNNNNNNNNNNNNNNNNNNNNNNNNNNNNNNNNNNNNNNNNNNNNNNNNNNNNNUAUAUAUAUAGAGGGUUGAAACAAAAGAAGAUAUUGAUGUUGAGAAUGUGAUGAGAGUGUGAGUGGAGUGUUCCUCUUUGAUCUCUAUUCAAAUGUAAGUUUUCAUUGAGCAAUACUAGAAAAAGCUCCUAAGACAGUAGUAUUGGUUUUUUUUAGUAGCUUUGAUUUCUGAUAUUGUUAAGGGAUUGGAUAUUUUUUCCUUAAAAGGGUGGACCAGACUCAAAACUUUUCAGCAUCACUUGUUAAUGGUUUAUAAUAUAUUAUAUUCUUCCUUAGAUAUAUUAUAUUCUACCUUAGAGAGAGAGAAUGAAAAGAUGUUAGGGCUUUGAAGGAAAUAGGGAAAGAAGGGUUGGAGAGUAGGUUGAUAUAGGGACAGGAAAAAGCUUUGAAGGGGUAAAUUUUAGGGAAUAACAUGAUUCUGUUUCUUCACACUGUACCCUUCAAUGACAGUUCAUUUUGAAUUGACAACAUUACCCCUCACAAAUACCCCUUUUCACCUUUCUUUUCUCUUGAGGAAAAAGGAUAAAACUUUAUUUCUGAACAUCAAUUUGUCCCUUUCUUACCCUCAUAAAUAUCCUCACAUGAAUGUUAGACUAUAAAUAUAAUCUAAUAUAUGGUAUGAAUAUCCACAUACACAAGGUUAAACAAUUUCAAAUGUAGUUAAUCCAAGACCCAAAAUAGUUCUAUCUAGGAUCAGCUUAAAUGAAUUCCUAUUCUCUUUCUCAAGACAUUUCUACUAAAAUUAACAAUGAUGCAUAUUUAUGUCAAGGCAUUUGUCAAUAAUAAUAUCUUUACCAUUAACAUUAAUAUAUAUUAAUGAGUGAAAAUAAUGAUUUUGUUCAAAAUCAUCACUAAACAUAUUCUUUGAAUCAUUAGUAUAGAACCAUGAAAUAGAUAUUAUUUUUUAUUUGGUGGGACUAAGGGACAAUACAUUUAUACCCACUUUCUCAACUUCCUUCUACAAUUAUCAUUUGCAUGUAUUCCUUUGAAAGAAAGUUUUGUCAAUAUACAUAAAAAAAUUCGAUUUUGAAAGAAAGUUUUUUGUUUUUCCUCCAAUUCUUGCUGGCAUGUCCAUGAAAAAAUCUUCUAAUGUGAUCUUGUACUGUUUUCAUGCUUUUAAAUAAAUUGACUAAUCAAUAGUGUCUUUGGUUUUCUUUCUUUUCUCUUGUUCCAAUCAUAAUAUAUAGUGCCCAGAUUUUUUUAUUGUUACAUUAUUAACUUUCAAAUGCAAAACAUUAUAACCAUAUAAAUUAAAUGAAAAGACAACAAAAUGCUGAAACAGCAAAAUAAGGUAGAAUUAUUUAUGCUAGAUCACAAGAUUCUAUACACCAUUAUGUACAAAUGUAUACAAAAGUAACUUGGGAUUAUGAACUUGCCACUCCAACAAAAGAACAUUAUAAGUACAUCUAGCCAAGCUAAAGUUUCAGAUCUUGCUUCCAUCCUAAAACAAACCACUAGAAAGAAAUUAAGAACUUGAGAACAAUUCAUGAUACCAACAAGUGCAAAAAAAUAAAUAACUCAACAUGAUGACACAAAUGAUAGACUAAAACAGGAGAGAAUGAGAGAAAUGAAAUAAACAAAAUUGUGGAUUCUUCAUGAUUUUCCCUUCCCUUUAGCACCUUCGCGCUGAUUACGAAAAUGACUCAGAAGCUGUUGUGCCUACAUGUAUGUGAACAAGAUGUUAGUUUUUCUCUUACAUUUUAGAUUAUGCCCAUCACUUGUUACCUUGUAUGCCAUCAACUUUUAUAUGAUACCCUUCUCCUAAGUUUCUUUGUUAACGAAAUUUUCCAUGAUGAAACAAAUACUUUUCGCAUGCAUUCCGAUUUCUCCUAUCUUUCUACUUGAUAGGUAUCAACAGAUCAAAGAGAAAAUAUAUUAAACAAAACACAACAAAAGAGUUAUAGUUUCCCCCUUCGUUGUUUCUGGUGGAAAGGGGGAGAAUGAAUAAAAGAGAACAUCUUAGAAAGCGGGAUUUCAACAUUUAGCUUCAACUUUGCACACUAACAAAGACAAAGAGCCUGUUUGUUUAGUUGUUUUCUUUAAAAAUACAGUUUUGUAUUCAAUAAACAUCACUUGACACCGAUGUGCUUGUUUGAUUAGGAGAGUUGAUUUUUUCAGCUUCUCGGAAAUAACGUUCCUAGACUCUAAACAAUCAUUUCUGUAAAUCUAAACAAAGCAGCCGAAAUAAUGAUUAACUAUGUACCUUUUCUCUAGCUCUUGGUGUACCACACUGAGAUAUUGCAACUAGGGGAGGCACAGCUCCUUCUUGCAAAACCAAGGUACAAAACUUGGGACUAUGAAGACAUAGUUGCAAGAGAAUGGAAGCAGCAUUUUCCUUUCCCCUCUGAGAACCUGAUUCAAUAAUUUCAACUAGCAAGGGUAUGCCCCCUUCCCUCACAAUUUCUAGUUGACCUUCUGAAAUUGUCGACAGGUUUGCCAAAAGAGCAACAGCCUUGUCAACCAUUCCACAUUCAGGGUCCAACAGCAGAACCAGAAACUUCACCGCUCCAGCUUGAACAAUACGAGCUUUAUUCUCGUGAAAUAUUGAUAGGUUAAAUAAAGCAGUAGCAGCAUCUUUCUUUCCCCUGAGAGUUCCUGAGGCUAGAAGAUUCACCAAAGCCUUAACUGCACCAGAACGGCCGAUUUUCGGCUUAUUGUUUUCUAUUACAGAGAGGCUGAAUAGAGCUGCAGCAGAGUUCUCCUUGGCACCGUCAUUUCCUGUCUUCAAAACAUGAAUAAGUGGCUCUAUGGCUCCUGCUUCCAUAAUCAAGGCCUUGUUGUCUUCAUUUAUCGACAAAUUCAGCACUGCUGUUACGGCAUGCUCUUGUGUUAUCUUCACAUCCGAAUAUAGCAAUGAAAGUAAAGGCGUGAUAGCUCCACUCUUCCCUGCAAUGAUACGGUUUUCCAUGUCAUGCUUCGUAAGGAGCCUCAAUUUUUCUGCAGCAGCAGUUUGUACUUCAUUUGAAUGAUUGUGAAGGUCUUCGAUCAACUUUUUGACAUGAGAUGCGGGGGUCAUUUCAUCAGAUUGUACGUUGGAAACAGGAUGAGAAUCAACUUUUGAAUGACUAUGAAUGAUAAUAUUAUCAUUCUUAUUAUAAUUAUUUCCAUCCUGCAUCCUUCCAUUUUUUGAUCCCAGGUUUUCAAAUAGCUUUCCUGAUAAUGAAGGAGAAAUUACCAAUUCUUUACUUGCAGGCGAAGCAGGACACCGAUUUGUGGUUUCACCAGAAAACUCCACAUUUUGAUGCUUAUUAGAUACCCUUGAUGCCUCUUUUGAAACUGGAAGUACAUAAUCAGCACUGGAAAUAGAACUUGAAAAUGAUUCACUUCUGCUGUGACUACACGAAGGUGCUGAGGAUUGCUGCUCAAACUUUUCUGUCUCUCCACUCUGGAGUCCAUUGGAUUCUCCACUUAAUCUGAAAGUGAUAUCACCCUUUUUCUUCUCAGAUGCCUUUCCACUUUGAAGAGACGAUUUUGAAGUGGAAUUGCUACUACAUGAAGAUCCAAAACUACACGCACGGUCUAAAUCUUGGGGAAAAUGAUCCGAGGGGGGUGAAAUAUGUGAAAAUUUCUCGUUCUUCGAGUUAUCGAGAAGUUUGACAUUAUUUUCCUCACACCAAUUCACUAUCAUAGUUUUCACGGUAUAAUUAGGAAUGAGAUUCGUAUGCGUAAGUCUCUGAUGAGUCUUUGGACAAACAGUUAACCCAUGAUCAAGCCACUUUUGGAUGGAUUGCCUCUCGUAUGUCUGACCUGAAGCUACAAUAACAGGAUCCAGCAUGAGUUCCAACGAUAAUGGACAUCGGAAGUAUGGUGGGACAGAGACACCACUUCUGAUUUCAUGGCACUCAAUUUUCAUCGCAUAAUCACGUAAAUCACAGACAAGAUUCACAAUUUGGUUAGUUUCAUCCAACUCCCCUUUCAUUUUAUUGACUUCAGUGUUCAAUCUUUCCUUUUCCACAGCAAUACUUUCUUUCAAGAGCUCCUGGUUUGAUGUGAGUUCAAGUAAAUCAAUGAUUUCCUUUAGAUUUUCAUAGCAAGGUUUGACAUUAUCCCUUUGGUUUCUAAGCGCUUUUUCUAUAUAAACCACUGCUGUUUCCUUCUUAAGACACUGAAGUUCCUGCAUAUAUUUCUGAAGAAGUUUCUAGCAAUUAGUCUGACAAUUCUAUUGAUCAACUAGAUACCCAAAAAAAUUGACAAUAACUACUCCUGAAAAAUACAGGAGUGUGAUUUUCUUCCCCCAUACCUGAAUAUUAGCCAAACCUGAAGUAUAUGGAGGUGAGUUUAGGCAUCUAACUAGCAUGUGACAAAUCUCAAGUGAAGUACUUUGUAAUUUAAUCAACAUUUCCCCACUCUGAAGAACCUGAAAAUAAAAUAAUCCCAACAAAACAGUGAAGAGGUUUUCAUUGUUUGCUUUCAACCUUCAUAUGCCAACAAAGAAGCUUAGGAUCUUAACCAAAUUGGAAUAACAGUUGCUGAACGAUAGUAUUGGUUUGAACAAAACACAAGUAAUUACUUACACCGUGAAUCUUGCUCAUCUUUGAACUCAAUUUUUCGAUGAACUCUCUAGCUUCAUUAACUUGCAUAUCCAAUUCUUCACAUUCUGUAUUUAGAUUUUCAUCCAAAGGGAUUUUGUAAUCCACAACAUCAUCAAGCACUGGUUUCAAGCACUUCAAAACACCAACCAUAUUAUUACAGUUAUUCUGAAGGGGCAUAGGUUUCACUUUUUGGCAAGAAACUAGAUGAAUAAAUCGAGAAAUGCUGUUGAUAAGACAUUUCUUUGAAGUUGUAUCCAUUUUACCUGAUAUAUGGCAAAAAAAUAUAACAAACUAAUAUUACACAAACAAUAACUUGAUGCAAAAGAUAGUUCCACCUUAAUUUAGUAUCCACUUCCAGUUAUGUUAUGAGUUAUGACUGUCCAACAAGUUAGUGAUAAAAUAAGAUUCCAUUGGUGAGAAAUAUUUCCAUGUAAAAAUACAGAUCGAACUAGUGACUCUACGGAGCAUUUGGAAGAGCUUAUUUGGGCCUAUAAAGUAGCUUUUGACCUUCCUACAAUACCGAAGCUUGUAAAAGUAAGCUCCUCUUAGCCUCUUCAACAAAAAGGUCAAUGAAUAAGCACUUAAUUAAGUUUUUUAGCUAAAUGUACGCCUAAUAGGUAAGCAUAUUUGAAUGUCAUAUGAAAGCAGAUAACAUGAAUAAAUUUGCUUGGAAUAGAACCAACUGAAACAAAAGCAAAGACAAAUGGAUUUCACUUGCAGGUAAAAUGGUUCUAAUGCUACAAACAAAAUUACAAAGAGGGUUAUAAAUAUAAUUAUGAAUAAUUUUACUAAAAGUGGACAAAUGCAAUAGCUUAUACAGGCCUAUUCCAACAAAAAAGGUGCAAGCAAGUCAAAGUCCAUUGAAGAAGAAAGAAAGAGGUUCCACUAAAAUAAUUGUGGGAAAACAACAAAGUCAACUGAAACUAUCCUAAUUCAAUUUUGACAUAGAAUUCUUCAUCUUGAAUAACCAUACACUAAUAAAAUACUCAAAAGUAUCCUCUUUGAUUAGCAAUUUCACAAAUUCACCUUUCUAUAACCAAUUUAAGAAAUCACUUACAAAGAGUUUCAACAGCAACAUGGCAAAAAGUACCCAAUUUGUUAAGCAAAUUCUCAUAUUUAUAGCACCCUCGUUAUUCCACACAAAACCCAGAAACCACCCAAAAGCUCAGAUUUUUGGUAAUUUUUUUUAUAGAAGAUGACCCAAUGAAUCAAAAAACAAAAGGGCACCUGAGAAAUUCUUUAAAAAACGAAUUUUGUGAGCAAAAAUAGAAGCUUUAGGAUGAAUUGCAAUGCCAUACCUAUAUGCAUGGUUCUGAAAGUAAGAGGUAAAACAGAUCCUUGUCAAUUCCAAUCCAUGGUAAUAGGAAGUUUCGAAAAAAACAAAGUGAAUUGUGAAUUUGAAUGGUGAGUGAUGAAAGGUUGCUUCUUAAUCUUGGUUCAUAGAUACCUUGAAUUCAUUUCCCAACAAAGCUACCUGGAAAAGCCUGAGACACAAGGUCCAACAACUAAAGCCAAAUUUUGAUCAAAUUAAGAAAAGAAAUAACAACAACAGUAAUAAUGAUAAAAAAACAAAUAAUAAAGCAGAAAAAUGAGUUAAUUAAUGACAUAUUUGUUUACUAUUUUCUUACAAAAUUCAUUAAAUUUUGAUUUUGUGUGUCUUUUAUUGUAUGAAAUUAUUUUUCAUUUAUAAUAUACUCAAUUUUUAAUAAUUUUAACAAAUAAAAAUCCUAACUCUCGAAUUAGAUAAGCUAUUUUUAUCAUACUUAGUCAUAUCAAAAUAUCUGCCAGCAAUUAAUCUACAUUGGUACAAAUAUAUUUACUUGGCAUACCAAAGUUUUGUUUGUAAUAAAUAUAGAUUAUUAUAAUGUCAAAACAUAAAAUCAAAUCUUUCUUUACAAAAAUACUAUUUUAUCCAUCUAUCUUAUUAAUAAAUUGUAAGUUAGCCAUCCAACAAAAAAGUUUUAAUUUAAUCCUUAAAUUUUCAAUGUUUGUCAACAAAAAUUUGUAAUAGUAUUAGAUUUCUGCAUGAAAGAUGGAGUCAUAGUCAAAAAUACUUUUCUAAUAGCUGGAAUAUUGGUUUUUUAUUGGAACUUAAUUAAUUGUUAUUUUGUCAGCAAAAUAUCUGUUUGGAAUGUUAUUUUAAUAUUCCUUCCAUAUGCUACUAUACUAUGGCUUUUCUUUUUCUACCUCAAACCUGGGCUGAAUAUUUAAAAUCUCCAUAUAUUAAUUCACUAGUUUUUAUCAUGUGUCCCAAACCUAAGCAAUUAAGUAAAGAGAAUGAUAUUCAUAUAUAGUUUCUGCUAAGUCAUAUAUGUAUAUAAAUAACCCUUUUUGUUUGAUACAAAUAAGUGAACAUCACUAUUCACUAGUACCUUUGAUAGUGAGUAACAGUACUUGGUUGGGACAAUUUUGCUGGCUAUUGAAUUGCACCAAUAUAACCAAGCCAUCAUUUAGAUCCAAAGCAUUAAAAUGUGUCUGUGUAUUUGUAGCAAGCAUGUGACCCUACACCAACCCGUGAAAUUUUUGACAUGGUUCAUCUCAUUGUAACUUUCCAUUGAUUUUCAUGAUUACCUUUGCAACACGUCAUAUUAUGCCUUUAGUUAGUUUCAACCAAAUUGGUACAUAGGACCAUGUUAUCUUUUUUCUUAAGGUUUCUGUCUUAUUUUCUUUAAACUAGUUAUAUGUGUAUAAUUUUGGUAGACUAACUCAGAAUCUAAUGGUGUGUUAGAAAAAACCUUUCCUAAAGUGGUAACUCUAGUUCAUAUAUAUGAUCUCAUGAAUAAAGUAUGAUACAAUUUAGUGUCAUGGAUAUUAUUGGCAUUUUUUGAGUUAGACAAAACAAAUUGAUAUAUUGUUUCUUUGAAAAUGUGUGGUGGUCCUUGUGUUGCAUCUUUAUUUCACAAGUCAAAGUUUCUUUCACAUUUUCUUCCUUUCAUAAGUGAAAGUAAUACCAACAACACCAUUUCACAUGCUAGCUUUGAUGGCUGAACUUUCUUCACACUAACAAAAAAGAAACUUCCUCAGUUAAGAUUAUACAUAAGAAUUUCUAUAUAUGUAUUCAGGUCAUGGAAAGUUGAAACUUAACCAAAAUGAAACAAAGUUCAUUUUUUUCAAUGAGUUGGGGAAGAUAAAACUAGAACCCAACCAACACAUUUCAAUUCAUAUUCAAGUAUUAAAGGAAAAAAACUAUUCCUAAUGAUCAUUUCAUUCCUAAUAACUUGAAACUUAAUUUUUAACAUUCUUCUAGUAGAUAUUCAAAUGAUUUGGAAGAUUUUGUAUUUAAACUUAAUAAUAAAAGUUAUGAGUUUCAAAAAAGUUUUUUUGUAUUAUUAAAUUUAUAGAUUUACUUUAAAAACAAAUAUACAUCACUUAUAUGUAAUAUUGUAAUACGUUAUUUUGUUUUUUGAGAUUCACAUUAAAUUUAAUUACUAUAAUAACAUUAUUUUGAUCUAUAAUAUUCUUUAUUUUGAUGUAAAGUUCUACUAAUCCAAAAGCAGCUUUAAGAGUUUGAGAAGGGUACCCACACAAACCGAAAUAAACAAAAAGUGAAUGAAUGCCAACAAAAUUUAUAUUUUUGGUACUGACAAGGGUAUUAUUUACUCAUUUGGGUAAAAAACUAAUCCUUUCAGAUUCAUAAUAUCUUAAUAAGUGUCACUUUCGAGAAAUAAAUUUGGCGGUUUUAGAGAUCCGGUAAGGUCUUAUAAUACUAUAUCAAAACAUGUGAUUGGUAACAAAAUUUAAUUUGAGAAUAUUAUGUUUGACUCUACUCCCUCUAGCGAAAGGACAGGGUGAAGCAACAACACAAUCUCGUUCUCUUAUUCUAUCAAUCUAGGGUUCCUUCUCACUCUCCAUUUCCAGGUUUUGAUUCUCUCCUUUUCUUCCUCCUUAUUAUGUGUUUAUGCUACACCAAUUCAUGCAAUAUUUUAUUUUCUUUCUCUUUAUUCACAUUAACUAUAAUAACUAAAUCAUCAUACUUUAUCAUUUUAGCUAUUAGGGUCUCAUUGCUUUAUAUUCUUAAUUAAAUCUUCAUUUUUCUCCAUCUCAUUUACACAAUCAAUCAAUUUCCUCUUUCAGAUUGCAAAGUUCCUUUACUUUUCAAACAUUCAAUCAAUUGGGUCCCUAAUAAAAUAUUUUUAACAUUCUCACAAGGAUCAAAAUCAUUUAUUUGCAAAGUCAAAGACCAAGUUGACAUUUUUUGUAAUCUCAAUGUCUGAAUUAACGUUUUACUUGAUUAUCAUGUUAUUAGAUAAUGUAGUGUCCAAAAAUCUGGUCUAAAAUAUUCAGUGUUUUUUUUUUUUCAUUCAAAAACAGCUGUAGAAAUCCUCUUAUACUCUUGCCAAAUACCUUUGUGCCUCUGCAGAUUUUUAUUUUGGAGCAGCAACAGUUUUUUUUUCCAUCAAAAGUAAUCUUAACCAAACAACACUUUAAUCCUCUGCUUUAUAUUUCAUUAUUUAUUGCAUAAAGGCACAUAUACAUAUAGACAUAUAGACAUAUUCUUUUGUGUUCCCUUUUACCUUUGUCAGAAACAAACAAUGGACAAGUUGAAGUUAGCACAACUAGGUGAGAGGCUGAAAACGGGUGGAGCACAAAUGGGUCGGAUCGUGAGCGGAAAAAUGAAAGAAAUCUUGCAAACUCCCACACCAGAAUCAAAGAUGGUUGAUGACGCUACGUUGGAGGCAUUGAAUGAGCCAAAUUGGAGCCUGAACCUUAGGAUAUGUGGCAUGAUCAAUAGUGAAGAGUUCAAUGGUUCUGAGAUUGUUAAAGCAAUCAAGAGGAGGAUUAAUCAUAAGAGCCCUGUUACUCAAAGGCUUAGCUUUGACCUUUUGGAAACUAUUGCUAUGAAUUGUGAGAAGGUGUUCUCUGAAGUAGCAUCUGAGAAGGUGCUUGAUGAUAUGGUGAGGUUGGUACAGAAUCCAGAAGGGGAUGGGAAUAAUAGAAAGAGGGCUUUUCAGUUGAUCAGGGCUUGGGGCGAGUCUCAGGAUCUUGCUUAUCUUCCUGUCUUUCGUCAAACUUACAUGGUGAGUUUUAACUUGAGUGUAAAUGGAUCCCUCUUCAUUUGUUAAAAAGUGAUUUUAAUAUAAUCUAAUUAGUUUGGAAUUGUGUAAAAGAAUGACUUUAUAUAGUAAAUUACAAAAGAAGAUGAAGUUCUCUGUUUGGUAGUUAGUUCUGCAAGGGUGAAAUGAAAAAAGUGAUUAAUAAGUUUCAAAUAAUCAAAUAGCUAUUUUAAAUCAGAUUCAAAAUUAUAGUUUAUGUAAAAACUGCUUUUUAUACUUUAAUUAGGUUUGCGAAAUAUGUCAUAUUAAACUCGAAUUAGGUUUUGAGCAAGCUCAUAUUGUGAAAAGGUUUUCUGUUUUCGUAUGGAGCAUUUUAUGAUUCACCCUAAGGUUAUCCAUGGUUGAGAUGUCUUGUUAGCUACUCUUGUAUUUUCAUUAUCUAUUGGUCCACAAAGCACUGUAUUAGGGAAGAUGAUACAAGUUGUAUUGAUUCAGAAAAAUUCAGAAUUAUCUUUGAACAGCAGCUUUGUUGUUUUGGGAACUAAGAUGACUUUUAUUGUUAAAUGUAGUUUCUAGAUAUUGUUGCAUAAGUGUGCUAUGUCAAAAUAGCAUUUCCCUGGUAACCUUGGAAGUUUUAUCUUUUACAAAAUUUUGAUUUUGAUGUGCAUAACUGCAUGCUGCUUCACGUUCUCGGUUAUUUUGUAGUCUUUUGUUUUUAUGUUUUUAUAUGUCUGAUUCUUCUCCAUCCUUUGGUCACGUUUAACUGAUUCCUACAUCCUCCUUGGUUGACGGCAGAGUUUGAAAGAAAGAGAAGAACCACUAGACUUCGGAGGAGACAAUUCACCAACUGCUCCAUAUACCUUGGAGUCAUAUUUGGAUCAACAGCGUUUAAAUCCACCUGGAAUAUACCCUAUUCCUCCAUCAGGAUCACUUCAUGCUUUGAAUGAUUCAUCUUUCUCUUCUGACCAACACAUAUCAAUUGAAGAGAAGAAAGAGCAUCUUGUGAUUGCACGAAACAGUCUUGAAUUGCUCUCUAGCAUAUUAAAUACUGAGGAAGAGCCAAAACCUUUGAAGGUAAAGAAAAAGGCAUCAUUCUGUGAGUAAUAAUAGAUUGGUGAUUUUUUACUACUUCGUGAUGCUUCUUGUAUCAUGUAUGUAUCAUCUAGUCUCUACAGAUCUUUGAAUGUUGAAAUUCCAAAAUAAGUUACCUUUCAAUACAAGGGUGCUGUCUAAAUGGAGAUGGGGCAUUGAAAGAAUUUUUUUUUCCCUUUUCCCCACUCUAAUCUAGUUAGUACUGUCAGAUAAUUUAUGUAUCUAUAUAUAGAAGAGUUGUGCUAAUUAGUACAAAAGGAAUAUGUGACAUAAUUUAAUGCAGCCAAUAGGAUUGGAGAACUAUACUAAAAAGUGGAUAAAAUAGUGUAAGAGUUAGAUACUGAAAGUCAUUUACUACAUAUACAAGCUCCAUGGACAAUGUACGAAUUCCAGUUCGUAACGUGUUGCCUUUUCCGUGUAUAGAAUCGUUGUUUACUAAUAGAAUUUAAAAUAUUCUUGUUUGGUUGCAGGAAGAACUAACUCUGAACUUGUUGGAUAAGUGCAAGCAGUCACUCUCUAUCAUCAAGGGGAUUGUGGAAAGUACCACAAAUGAUGAAGUAACACUUUUUGAGGCUUUGUAUCUUAACGAUGAGCUGCAACAGUUAGUUUCAAAAUAUGAAGAAUUGGAAGCUGCUGGCCAACAACAACCUCAAAAUGCUGACACUGCCAAGAACAAUGCUGAAGCUAUUCAAAAUCCCAACAAACAACUUGAAAGACCUGAAUCUGAAGAGUCUGAAGCUAUUCGGAAUGUUGAAAGGAAGCUGCCUGAAAAGUUUAAUGCUCUUGAAAUCAAUGCAAACGAUGAGGAUCGUCAUGUUGAAACCAAAAUAGAGGAUAGCACGAAAGAGAAUGGUGCUGGAUCUAGCAGGAAGAUAAAUAAUGAGUAGAGUAAAGCAAAGGGGGGCAUGUUUCUUCUAGCAUUAUAUUUUGUUGUUGUUAAUAGUGUGUAAGAACUCUAUAGUUUCUUCAUUGCAGGUGUUUCCUCCUGAAGGCUGUGAUACUUCAAUCUUGUGAGAGAUCAUACUAGUUUCUCAUAAUGUUAAUUUGGUUUGGCCCUACUCUUUUAAGUUAUGCAUGAUCUCAUUUUGAUUCUCUUCCCUAGAACCCUUGAUUAAUUUGAGAGAAAGACCUUAAUUGAUGCACAUGUAUGAAAUAAACUAAGGGCACAUUUGAGGAAUUGGAUCAAGAAUUAGCUCACAAUAUUUUCCUUUAUAGAUGUUACCCCUCUAUUUCCCUAGUAUAUUGUGAUAUAAUUGGACAAGAAUUGAUAAAAUGAAUGUUUAGAUACACAAUUUUAAGACACAUAAGGCUAUUCUCCAAAACUUGAGAACUACUUUGCACAAGGUACUACACCUUUUCUUUUGCUUCUAUUCCUUUCUAUACCUUUUUAUUUUAACUAUUAUUUGGUUCAAAGGCAGAAGGAGAAGAAGAAGAAGAAGGUAGGGAUAAAAAAGAGGGUUAUAUUUAUUGUGGUGGAUCUGAAGAUGGCACACAAGACAAACAAAAUGAUAGCAAAGAAACAAUCAACUUAAAGCCAAGACACAAUUUUGUUAAAACCAGUAAAAUAAAUAACAGGAAGUGAAAUCCGGUGCAAGACAGGAUUAUUAUUAUUAAAACAAAUGAAAAAAAGUUAAAUUGAAUUUGGUAAAACAGAAAGAAGUAUUUCUUUACCGCAGGUAUCCUCGUACCGGAGGCAAUCAUGUUUGAGCCGGGAACAUCCAUAGGUACGUGGGGCUGACUAUCUCAACGAACAUUUUUUCUAUCCACAAGAUUCGAACCUGAAACUUUGCUUAAGAGAAAUCAAACAUGUAGCACUUGAAUCAUUGCGGGUAGGUAACAAAAAACAGCAUUUGUGAAAGGAAACAAUGGUCCCUGCCACUAGCAUUGCACCUGAGCAGAAAAUUGCAAUAUAAACAAUCUUACUCAUUGUUUGGUUAUACACAUUAAAGGCCACAUACCGUAUCAAACUUGAUGAGGUGUAACACUAACACCUUCAAUAGCCAUGCAUGCAUGAAGAAUGUCUAUUCCUCAUAACCACACCUUCUCUUACGUGUCCCUCCACAACCCUCCUUACUUCACUAUAAAUAAAACCAAACCAAGCCUCAUGUUAUCCACAUCACACCCAACAAAACAUUCUUUGAAAUUGUCCUUAAUGGCUAAUAAGCUUCUUGCACUCUCACUUUUCCUUCUUUUCAGUGGGUGUUUUGCUUCCACGUUUAGACAGCAGCCACAGCAAAAUGAGUGCCAGUUCCAACGUUUGAAUGCACUUGAACCUGAUAACAGUGUAAAGUCUGAAGCUGGAACCAUAGAGACAUGGAACCCCAACAAUGAUCAACUAAGGUGUGCUGGUGUUGCACUCUCUCGUUGCACCAUUCAACGUAAUGGACUCAGAAGGCCUUUCUACACCAAUGCACCCCAAGAAAUUUACAUCCAACAAGGUCCAUCUUCUUCAAAAUUUCACACAUAUAUCUCUUGUUACUUAUGUUACUAAGUAAUGGUUUUUUUGUGUAUGCAUGCAUGCAAUAAUAACACUAUAUAUAACUACAGGAAGGGGAAUAUUUGGCUUGAUUUUCCCUGGUUGUCGUGAGACAUAUGAAGAACCACAGGAACAAGAACAAGGGCAAGGUCCUAGGCCACAAGACCGUCACCAAAAGGUGGAACACUUCAGAGAAGGUGACAUAAUAGCAGUGCCUACUGGUGUUCCUUUCUGGAUGUACAACAAUGAACAAACUCCUGUUAUUGCUAUUACUCUUAUUGACACCACUAACCUUGAUAACCAACUCGACCAGAUUCCUAGGGUAAUAACUAACUAUUCACUUUGUAUGUAACAUGAAAUAAUCAUAGUAAAAAAUUUCAUGACAUGUGUAUUAUAUACUUGACAGAGAUUCUAUCUUUCUGGUAACCAAGAACAAGAGUUUCUACAAUAUCAACAGAAAGAAGGAGGACAAGGGCAACAACAAGAGGGAGGAAAUGAAGGUGGUAAUGUUCUGAGUGGCUUCAAUGAUGAAUUCCUAGAAGAAGCUUUCAGUGUUGAUAGGGAGAUAGUGAGAAACAUAAAAGGUAAGAAUGAUGAUAGAGAAGGAAGCAUUGUGGAAGUGAAAGAAGGUCUCAAAGUUAUAAGCCCUCCAACAUUGCGACCAAGACAAGGAAGAGAGGAAGAAGAAGAAGAAGAAGAAGAGGAGGAGGAAAGGAGAGGAGAUCGUCGUCGCCACCGCCCCCACCACCAUGAAGAGGAGGAGGAGGAAGAGGAAUGGAGCCACCAAGUAAGGAGAGUUCGUCGCCCUCACCACCACCGUGAAGAUAGAAACGGACUUGAGGAGACACUUUGCACAUUGAAACUUCGCCACAACAUUGGUCAAUCUACAUCUCCUGAUGCAUACAACC
rnacentral:lncRNA from 1 species